GGUUGUGGCCUAGUGGUAGAGCACUUGCCUAGCGUAUAUGAGUUACUGGGUUCAAUUCUCAGCACCG
rnacentral:tRNA from 1 species